GCCCAUGUAGCUCAAUAGGUAGAGCACUUGCAUGGUAAGCAAGAGGUAACCGGUUCGAUUCCGGUCAUGGGCU
rnacentral:tRNA from 1 species